rnacentral:rRNA from 1 species
CCUACGGGUGGCAGCAGUGAGGAAUAUUGGUCAAUGGACGAGAGUCUGAACCAGCCAAGUAGCGUGAAGGAUGACUGCCCUAUGGGUUGUAAACUUCUUUUAUAUGGGAAUAAAAUGUUCCACGUGUGGGAUUUUGUAUGUACCAUAUGAAUAAGGAUCGGCUAACUCCGUGCCAGCAGCCGCGGUAAUACGGAGGAUCCGAGCGUUAUCCGGAUUUAUUGGGUUUAAAGGGAGCGUAGGUGGAUUGUUAAGUCAGUUGUGAAAGUUUGCGGCUCAACCGUAAAAUUGCAGUUGAAACUGGCAGUCUUGAGUACAGUAGAGGUGGGCGGAAGUCGUGGUGUAGCGGUGAAAUGCUUAGAUAUCACGAAGAACUCCGAUUGCGAAGGCAGUUCACUGGACUGCAACUGACACUGAGGCUCGAAAGUGUGGGUAUCAAACAGGAUUAGAUCCCGAGUAGUC